CUCCUACGGGAGGCAGCAGUGGGGAAUAUUGCACAAUGGGCGAAAGCCUGAUGCAGCCAUGCCGCGUGUAUGAAGAAGGCCUUCGGGUUGUAAAGUACUUUCAGUUGUGAGGAAGGGUGUGUAGUUAUUAGCUGCAUAUCUUGACGUUAGCAACAGAAGAAGCACCGGCUAACUCCGUGCCAGCAGCCGCGGUAAUA
rnacentral:rRNA from 1 species